rnacentral:rRNA from 1 species
GAUGAACGCUGGCGGCAUGCCUAAUACAUGCAAGUCGAACGAGAGGAAGGAAAGCUUGCUUUCCUGAAUCUAGUGGCGAACGGGUGAGUAACACGUAGGUAACCUGCCCAUGUGCCCGGGAUAACUUCUGGAAACGGAUGCUAAAACCGGAUAGGUAGCAGACAAGCAUUUGACUGCUAUUAAAGUGGCCUAGGCCAUGAACAUGGAUGGACCUGCGGUGCAUUAGCUAGUUGGUGAGGUAACGGCCCACCAAGGCGACGAUGCAUAGCCGGCCUGAGAGGGCGGACGGCCACAUUGGGACUGAGACACGGCCCAAACUCCUAUGGGAGGCAGCAGUAGGGAAUUUUCGUCAAUGGGGGGAACCCUGAACGAGCAAUGCCGCGUGAGUGAGGAAGGUCUUCGGAUCGUAAAGCUCUGUUGUAAGAGAAAAACGGCACUCAUAGGGAAUGAUGAGUGAGUGAUGGUAUCUUACCAGAAAGUCACGGCUAACUACGUGCCAGCCGCCGCCGUAACAC